CCUACGGGAGGCAGCAGUGAGGAAUAUUGGUCAAUGGACGAGAGUCUGAACCAGCCAAGUAGCGUGAAGGAUGACUGCCCUAUGGGUUGUAAACUUCUUUUAUAAAGGAAUAAAACGAGGCACGUGUGCCUUUUUGCAUGUACUUUAUGAAUAAGGAUCGGCUAACUCCGUGCCAGCAGCCGCGGUAAUACGGAGAAUCCGAGCGUUAUCCGGAUUUCUUGGGUUUAAAGGGAGCGUAGAUGGGUUGUUAAGUCAGUUGUGAAAGUUUGCGGCUCAACCGUAAAAUUGCAAUUGAUACUGGCAGUCUUGAGUACAGUUGAGGUAGGCGGAAUUCGUGGUGUAGCGGUGAAAUGCUUAGAUAUCACGAAGAACCCCGAUUGCGAAGGCAGCUUACUAAACUGUGACUGACAUUGAUGCUCGAAAGUGUGGGUAUCAAACAGGAUUAGAUACCCCAGUAGUC
rnacentral:rRNA from 1 species